rnacentral:rRNA from 1 species
UACGUAGGGCGCGAGCGUUGUCCGGAAUUAUUGGGCGUAAAGAGCUCGUAGGCGGUUUGUCGCGUCGGCCGUGAAAACUUGGGGCUUAACCCCAAGCUUGCGGUCGAUACGGGCAGACUUGAGUUCGGCAGGGGAGACUGGAAUUCCUGGUGUAGCGGUGAAAUGCGCAGAUAUCAGGAGGAACACCGGUGGCGAAGGCGGGUCUCUGGGCCGAUACUGACGCUGAGGAGCGAAAGCGUGGGGAGCGAACAGG